rnacentral:rRNA from 1 species
GGAUUAGAUACCCUGGUAGUCCACGCCCUAAACGAUGAGUAUUAGGUAUUGGGAGUUUAGCUUUCAGUAUCGUAGCUAACGCGUUAAAUACUCCGCCUGAGGAUUACGGUCGCAAGAUUAAAACUCAAAGGAAUUGACGGGGACUCGCACAAGCGGUGGAGCAUGUGGUUUAAUUCGAUGUCACGCGAAAAACCUUACCACACUUUGACAUGUGAAUCGUAUCUCUGCGAAGGUAGAGAGUCAGGUUAAGCUGGAUUCAACACAGGUGUUGCAUGGCUGUCGUCAGCUCGUGCC